rnacentral:rRNA from 1 species
UACGAACCGUGCGAACGUUGUUCGGAAUCACUGGGCUUAAAGGGCGCGUAGGCGGGCUAUCAAGUCUGGGGUGAAAUGCCGCGGCUCAACCGUGGAACUGCCUCAGAUACUGACGGCCUCGAGGAAGAUAGGGGCAUGCGGAACUGUGAGUGGAGCGGUGAAAUGCGUUGAUAUUCACAGGAACUCCGGUGGCGAAAGCGGCGUGCUGGAUCUUUUCUGACGCUGAGGCUCGAAAGCUAGGGGAGCAAACGGG